rfam:Fusarium graminearum chromosome 2, complete genome
GGGCGAAUGGUUUAGUGGUAUAAUACUCCCUUAGCAUGUUUCCUCCUGUGGAAUCGUCAUUGGGAGUGGUCCAGGGUUCGAUUCCCUGUUCGUCCA